ACAAAAACAUUCGAACCUUCGGUCUACCGAGCAAUAUCACCUGCUCGGUGGAAGAUAUUCCCUUCGUCGUAAUUC
rnacentral:pre_miRNA from 1 species